rnacentral:tRNA from 1 species
UGGCUCAGUAGUUAAGAGCACUGGGUGCUCUUCCAGAGGUCCUGAGUUCAAUUCUCAG